rnacentral:misc_RNA from 1 species
CAAAUGUUGAGGGGCCACUAGGGUUGAUAUAUGGUGAAGAGUAUGAUCGUCCUUUGGUUGUAUUUGAUCGUGGUUUUAGGUCAGAUGGUUCGAUUUACAUGAACUCUACCGGUAACAAUCCUUCUAUACAUCCUCAGUGGCAACCUGAAUAUUUUGGUGAUGCGAUUAUAGUCAAUGGAAAAGCUUGGCCUUACAUGAAUGUGAAACGAAGGAAGUACCGAUUCAGGAUCAUCAACGCAAGUAACGCCAGGUUUUUCAAAUUCUUCUUCACUAAUAACAUGUCGUUUAUACACGUGGCGUCUGAUUCAGCUUAUCAUGAAAGUCCGGUAGAGCUCCAUGACCUACUAUUAGCUCCAUCUGAAAUAGCUGAUGUGAUUGUUGACUUUUCAAAGUCAAAGUCAAAGUCAAAGUCCGUGAUUUUAGCCAAUGACGCCGCGUAUCCUUAUCCGUCUGGCGAUCCGGUCAACGAAG